AUACGUAGGGGGCGAGCGUUGUCCGGAAUGAUUGGGAGUAAAGGGCGAGUAGGCGGCCCGGUAAGUCUGGAGUGAAAGUCCUGUUUUUAAGAUGGGAAUUGCUUUGGAUACUGUCGGGCUUGAGUGCAGGAGAGGUAAGUGGAAUUCCCAGUGUAGCGGUGAAAUGCGUAGAGAUUGGGAGGAACACCAGUGGCGAAGGCGACUUACUGGACUGUAACUGACGCUGAGGCGCGAAAGUGUGGGGAGCAAACAGGAUUAGAUACCCUGGUAGUCCACACUGUAAACGAUGAAUGCUAGGUGUAGGGGGUAUCGACCCCUUCUGUGCCGCAGUCAACACAAUAAGCAUUCCGCCUGGGGAGUACGGCCGCAAGGUUGAAACUCAAAUGAAUUGACGGGG
rnacentral:rRNA from 1 species